rnacentral:pre_miRNA from 1 species
AAAGAGUGCACUUUUACACUAUUCAUGUCCGACCGUUCGUUUUAUUUAAAAAAGUUUUAUGAUUAGUAUUUUUUAUUGUUAUUAGAUAAUAAAACAUGAACAAUUAUGUGUGACUAUUCUUUUAUAAAUUUUUCAAAAUAAAAUAGACGGUCAAACGUUGGAUACAGAUAUCCACGACUGCACUUAAA